rnacentral:rRNA from 1 species
AUGCACCCAUCUGAGCGAAUUACAGCUGACGGCACUAAACGAUUCACUCAAGAUGACAAUUUGAGCGAACACAUCUGGGGUGCCAAAUUCUGUUUCUACAAUAUGACAAUUUUCACCAGUUUUGAUGAAGACAUGACUAUUUUGGAUACGAUCAAAGAUAUUGCAUACAUGCAUAAUUGUCAGGUGAUUUCUAGUGCAAACUAUUCAAUAAUCUAUUUAUGUCAUCCAGAACAAAAAUACUUCACACACUUUUGUCUGUCUAAUCGUAGGUGUAUGGGACAUUUGUACAAUCCACAUAUGAAGAUAAGGGAAAAUGAGAAGUUUAGGUUAUGUUCAAAAAGUCCUCUCACAUCACUUUUGGGCCAAGAGAAGAUAAGAGUCCAAGUCUCCCAUGUUUUGAUUCAGAUUCGGACUACACAGACAUACCUGACUCAAAACGCCAACAUUUUUUCAUACGGACUCCGAAUUGGGUGA